rnacentral:rRNA from 1 species
CCUACGGGUGGCAGCAGUGGGGAAUAUUGGACAAUUGGCGAAAGCCUGAUCCAGCCAUGCCGCGUGUGUGAAGAAGGCCUUCGGGUUGUAAAGCACUUUCAGUGGGGAAGAAAGCCUUGGGGCUAAUACCCUCGAGGAAGGACAUCACCCACAGAAGAAGCACCGGCUAACUCCGUGCCAGCAGCCGCGGUAAUACGGAGGGUGCGAGCGUUAAUCGGAAUUACUGGGCGUAAAGCGCGCGUAGGCGGUCUGAUAAGCCGGUUGUGAAAGCCCCGGGCUCAACCUGGGAACGGCAUCCGGAACUGUCAGGCUAGAGUGCAGGAGAGGAAGGUAGAAUUCCCGGUGUAGCGGUGAAAUGCGUAGAGAUCGGGAGGAAUACCAGUGGCGAAGGCGGCCUUCUGGACUGACACUGACGCUGAGGUGCGAAAGCGUGGGUAGCAAACAGGAUUAGAUACCCGUGUAGUC